ensembl:lncRNA
UCCCACCAAUCCCACCAAGUGUAGCCCUCCGAAAGAUGUCGACCCAAUUUGCCAUCCAACGACCAGAGUCACAAUUUAUGGGUCGAUUUUUCUGAACAAUGUGAUAUAUUACCACUCCAUGGCCGACCCGAAUACUCCGAAGUUCAAAGAACUUGCUAAAAAUCUGAUAGAUAAGAUGAAACCUGUUUACAACACCCUGCUGCGAUUCGAUGGCAUACAGGUCACCGGGUUCAGGCUAGGUGUGUAUUCAUCCUUUGAGGUAUAUGUCAACACCCGAAUGAAUACAACGACCUUGGGGCAGAAAACCGCGGCAGCAGCGAAAGCAUUGAAAAACACCAUUGAAGUGGAAACUGAAGGCCUUGUGGACAUAAGCGCCCCCGAGCAGCCGGUGAAGCUGAACAGCAUGAUCGACAUCGUCUGCAAUUCGUCCCAAAGCGAUAUGGCGGAGUGGAAACAGGCCACACACAAAGAGGUCUCUCAGAUCACCAACGGAACGGAGUCUAUUGUGACAUCACAAGGACACGGGACCACCAAACUCACACUCAAACAAACAUCUGGAAUUUGGGCAGGCCUGAUCACUUGUACCUUCGGGCCAGAAUUCAUUACCGGUGUGAAGAUACUUCACAGAGCCAGUUUCAAACUGGAUGUCGCACUUCUGCCUCAAAUCGACAUCUUCAGCGACCCCCAGUUCCCCGAAUGUGGAAAAGACUCCACAGUGGUGUCUGUAAGAGUGAAAUGUCAGAUAAAGAACAGCACCGAACAGUACGGCGUACAUUGGAUCGUGAAGGGGAAUUAUUCACAAUUGGCGACAGGAGCAGACGUCGGGCAAGAUCCCAGGUCUUACGACGCCCAAAUGGCCUUGUCGUGUUUAACACAGCAUGAGGACCAACCGGCAGACAUGACAUGUGUGUUCAGCAAUAGGAUGAACCAAACACAAAAGGCCUCGAUUGAAAUCCACAUCAUAAACGAAAAUGAUCUGCGUUGUCAGGCGGGCGAGGAUUGGCCAGUCACGAAGGCCGGCUUCACUGCCAAGCUGCGUU